UUUACUGUAACUUUUCCCACACAUAUUCAAUCUUGAAAAUAAACACAUACUUAUUCAUACUAGUGUUAGUUAAUUCGCGAAUUAUUCGCGAAUUUUUGAAAAAAUGAAUUAAACGGCCGUUUUCGUAUUUUUCCGAAAAAUUCAGAAAAAAACGUGAUUUUUUGGAGAAAAAUAAUUAUUCGCGAAUUAUUCGCGAUUUGCGAAUAAUCCGU
rnacentral:lncRNA from 1 species